rnacentral:rRNA from 1 species
GCUCGGGGUAUGGACCUGCAUAAAACUUAAAGUUGUGAGCUGAAUAGCGGAUGGAAAGCCGUAGACGCAGAGGGUAAUAUUCCCGUAAGCGAAGCGAUGAUAAGUAGGCGGGUAUCCGGAGUACCACGAGACACGAGGAAUCUUGUGGGAAGGCGGGAGGACCACCUCCCAAGGCUAAAUACUACUUGGUGACCGAUAGAGGAAAGUACCGUGAGGGAAAGGUGAAAAGAACCCCGGGAGGGGAGUGAAAUAGAAUCUGAAACCCUAUGUUUACAAGCAGUUGGAGAGCGUUAAAGCUCGACAGCGUACUUUUUGUAGAACGGUCCGGCGAGUUAUUGUACGUAGCGAGGUUAAGUACUAAAGGUAUGGAGCCGAAGCGAGAGCGAGUCUGAAUAGGGCGAAGGAGUUACGUGUAAUAGACCCGAAACCGGGUGACCUACCCAUGGACAGGUUGAAGCCUGAGUAAAAUCAGGUGGAGGACCGAACAGGUGUCUGUUGAAAAAGGCUCUGAUGAGCUGUGGGUAGCGGAGAAAUUCCAAACGAACUCGGAGAUAGCUGGUUCUCCCCGAAAUAGCUUUAGGGCUAGCCUUGUAUUAAUCUAGCGGAGGUAAAGCACUGAAUGGACGCGGGGCCUUACCAGGUUACCAAAUUCUAUCAAACUCAGAAUGCCGCAUAGAUGAUGUACGGGAGUCAGACUACGGGAGAUAAGUUUCGUGGUCAAAAGGGAAACAGCCCAGACCGCCAGCUAAGGUCCCAAAAUCAUGGUUAAGUGGAAAAGGAUGUGGGCUUGCUAAGACAGCUAGGAUGUUGGCUUAGAAGCAGCCACUCAUUAAAAGAGUGCGUAAUAGCUCACUAGUCGAGUGAGCCUGCGCCGAAGAUGUAACGGGGCUAAACCAUGUACCGAAGCUGCGGAUUUCGUGUAAACGAAGUGGUAGGGGAGCGUAGUGUUGUAGGGAGAAGCAUAAUCGAGAGGAUAUGUGGACGAAGCAGUAGUGAGAAUGCCGGAAUGAGUAGCGAGAGUGAAGUGAGAAUCUUUACCGUCGAAAGCCUAAGGUUUCCUGGGGAAGGUUCGUCCGCCCAGGGUAAGUCGGGACCUAAGCUGAGGCCGGAAGGCGUAGGUGAUGGAUAACAGGUUGAAAUUCCUGUACUGACAGUAGUUGUAUAAGAGAGGCAGGGACACAGGAGGAUAGACAGAUCCAGUAACAGGAAAAGCUGGACUAAGGGAAGUAGAUAGCUUUGUAGUGAAGUACGCAGAGCGUUUCGAAGACCUGAAGGGGAGGGAAAUAGAGUACCGAAGCUGUUGAUUCCACACUGGCGAGAAAAGCUGCUAUUGAGACUAGGGUCACCCGUACCGCAAACCGACACAGGUAGGUGAGGAGAGAAUCCUAAGACGAACGGGAGAAGCGUUGUUAAGGAACUCGGCAAAUUAACCCCGUAAGUUCGCGAUAAGGGGAGCCUAGAGAUAGGCCGCAGAGAAAAGGCCCAAGCAACUGUUUACCAAAAACACAGGUCUCUGCUAAAUCGAAAGAUGAAGUAUAGGGGCUGACGCCUGCCCGGUGCUGGAAGGUUACGGGAAUCUGUAAGGGAAACCGAAGCAGUGAACUUAAGCCCCAGUAAACGGCGGCCGUAACUAUAACGGUCCUAAGGUAGCGAAAUUCCUUGUCAGGUAAGUUCUGACCCGCACGAAUGGCGUAAUGAUUUGGGCACUGUCUCAACAGCGCACCCGGUGAAAUUGUAGUACUUGUAAAGAUGCAAGUUACCCGCGAUUAGACGGAAAGACCCCAUGGAGCUUCACUGCAGGCUGGUAUUGGGUUUCGGUAUUUUCUGUACAGGAUAGGUGGGAGACGAAGAAGUACGGACGUCAGUUCGUAUGGAGUCGCCGUUGGGAUACCACUCUGGAAAUAUUGGAACUCUAACCUGAUACCGUAAACCGGUAUAGGGACACUGGCAGUCGGGCAGUUUGACUGGGGCGGUCGCCUCCCAAAGAGUAACGGAGGCGCCCAAAGGUUACCUCAGCGCAGUUGGAAAUUGCGUAAAAGAGUGCAAAGGCAGAAGGUAGCCUGACUGAGAGACUGACAAGUCGAGCAGAUACGAAAGUAGGGCUUAGUGAUCCGGCGGUAUGAAAGUGGAAUUGCCGUCGCUCAACGGAUAAAAGCUACCCUGGG